UACUGUUCAUAGUGGGCCGCACAACCUUGUUCACGCCUGUUGAUAUCAACAGGCGUGAACAAGGUUGUGCGGCCCACUAUGAACAGUAUUGUCAACAUGUUGUUACAGCAUUGUUCAACUGUAACA
rnacentral:miRNA from 1 species